rnacentral:rRNA from 1 species
AACGCGAAGAACCUUACCUGGUCUUGACAUCCACGGAAUUCGGCAGAGAUGCCUUAGUGCCUUCGGGAACCGUGAGACAGGUGCUGCAUGGCUGUCGUCAGCUCGUGUUGUGAAAUGUUGGGUUAAGUCCCGCAACGAGCGCAACCCUUAUCCUUUGUUGCCAGCGGCUCGGCCGGGAACUCAAAGGAGACUGCCGGUGAUAAACUGGAGGAAGGUGGGGAUGACGUCAAGUCAUCAUGGCCCUUACGACCAGGGCUACACACGUGCUACAAUGGCGCAUACAAAGAGAAGCGACCUCGCGAGAGCAAGCGGACCUCAUAAAGUGCGUCGUAGUCCGGAUUGGAGUCUGCAACUCGACUCCAUGAAGUCGGAAUCGCUAGUAAUCGGGAUCAGAA